GACGAACGCUGGCGGCGUGCUUAACACAUGCAAGUCGAACGGUAAGGCCCCUUCGGGGGUACACGAGUGGCGAACGGGUGAGUAACACGUGAGCAACCUGCCCUUGACAUUGGAAUAACAGUUGGAAACAGCUGCUAAUGCCGGAUAUGACCUUCGGUGACAUCACCUGGAGGUGGAAAGUGCUUAGCGGUCAAGGAUGGGCUCGCGGCCUAUCAGCUAGUUGGUGAGGUAACGGCUCACCAAGGCUUCGACGGGUAGCCGGCCUGAGAGGGCGACCGGCCACACUGGGACUGAGAUACGGCCCAGACUCCUACGGGAGGCAGCAGUGGGGAAUAUUGCACAAUGGGCGCAAGCCUGAUGCAGCAACGCCGCGUGCGGGAUGACGGCCUUCGGGUUGUAAACCGCUUUCAGUUCCGACGAAGCGCAAGUGACGGUAGGAACAGAAGAAGGACCGGCCAACUACGUGCCAGCCGCCGCGGUAACAC
rnacentral:rRNA from 1 species